CAUUAAGAAGCUUUCAUAUUAAGCAAUAACCUUUUAAGUUAUAGAUCGGUGAUUUAACCCACCCUUAAUGA
rnacentral:tRNA from 1 species